AGACCAGAUCCAAGCUCACAAAUUUCUAAAGCUAGUGUGUGCACUCUGUGCAGUGACGUAGCCAGCUUAGUCGGAAUGGGGGCACAUGCACCCAUAGUUUUAUGAAUAUGUAAGCUUUUGUGAAUAGAACCAUUAAGAUUUUAUUGGAUGUGAUGGUAAAUGUUGUGUUGGGCACCCAUAACUUUCUUAAUCUCGAUUCUCUCCUGUGUCAUUUUCUUGUUUUGUAACAAACGUCCCCCAUGAAAUUUUGUUCUAGAUUCGCUCCUGAGUGUGUGAGAAGAUAUCUGCCACAGCAAAGAUGAACGUUGGAUGGCAUGCAGCCUGUAUAACACUAUACUGGACGAUGAAGUGUAAAUGGAAGAGCCAAACUAGCAAUCCGAGAUCCCUGUUUACUAUUUGCAAGCUGGAUAUAAAAAGACAAAACCAAAUCAUGAUUUAUGCGAUUUUGGUUUGGUUUAAAC
rnacentral:lncRNA from 1 species